rnacentral:rRNA from 1 species
GGUCUACGGCCGAUAGGGCGCCGAGGGGGACAACCAAUUCCCGCGGGGGUCGGCGGAGGCAGGGGAGACCUUGGGAUCGGGGGUUUAGGGGGUAGAGGGAGAGGGAGCGGGCGAGAGAAGCGGGGCGCGCUCUAGCGGCGCAGUGGUGGCGGCGCAGUAGCAGUGGUGCUGGUUGCUCGAGAGGCGGCGCCCUCUUGGAUGGUCCUCGGGACGCAGCAAGCAGGUGUGGCAGGAGCGGGCGUUCGAGCUCAGCGCCUCCAGCAGUAGCGGGCUAGCCCGUAGAAGGGGACAAAGCCAGCGGCGGCAGGGCGGCGCAGCAAGUCGAGGAGGCCAGGAGGGGCUCGGAGAGGUCGGACAGGGGCCGGAAGGGCUCUUAUGGUAGGCGGGGGACUGCAACCUCGGGUACUCGGUCUGCGGUGGUAGCUGCUGCUGAUGAUGAUGAGCCCUCCACGGAUGAUGAUGCACGUCGGGCGACUGCUGCUGGUCCUCAUCAAAUCCUCCUAGGGUCCGUCCUCCGGACACGGAGAAAGCUAGACAUAGGAUCAAACACGAUCGGAAGAAUUCCGUUUGAACAAAUUGUAUACGGACAUGAGUCUAUAACAACGAAGGCGACUGAGCAGAUACUAGCUCGAGAACAUAAGCUCGGGAGCUCCGGGAACCG